rnacentral:lncRNA from 1 species
UAUGCAUCUAGAAACACACUUGUUACCGGCGAUAAACAUGGCCUUAGUUGUGCCCCAUGUAUUAUCUGUUGUUCAGAUCUCAAAAUUAUUUUGUUUUUCAAUUUUGUUCUUGCAGAUUAUUAUAUUGUAAUCAUUUUUUCAUCAAACAAGUUUUCCUUUCAUGCGUCCUAACUAAUAGAAACCAUUUUCUCUCUCUAAUAUUAGGUUUUAUCUUUCUCAUAU